rnacentral:rRNA from 1 species
CACCGCGGUUAUACGAGUAACCCAAAUUAAUAUCCCCGGCGUAAAGGGUGGUUUAAAAAAAUCUUGAACAAUUAAAGUUAAGAUAUCAUCAAACUGUUAUACGUAUUUAUGAAUGAAAUAAUCAAUUACGAAAGUAACUUUAUAAAAUAAUAGAACUCUUGACACCACGACAGGUAAGCCC